rnacentral:miRNA from 1 species
GUCUGUUUGUCUGUAUGUGUGUAUGUAUGUAUGUGUGUGUGUGUGUGUAUAUAUAUAUACACACACACACACACACAUACAUACAAAAACAUACUGAUAUAU